rnacentral:rRNA from 1 species
UACGGAGGGUGCAAGCGUUAUCCGGAUUCACUGGGUUUAAAGGGUGCGUAGGUGGGCAGGUAAGUCAGUGGUGAAAUCUCCGGGCUUAACUCGGAAACUGCCAUUGAUACUAUCUUUCUUGAAUACCUUGGAGGUCAGCGGAAUAUGUCAUGUAGCGGUGAAAUGCUUAGAUAUGACAUAGAACACCAAUUGCGAAGGCAGCUGGCUACACGAAUAUUGACACUGAUGCACGAAAGCGUGGGGAGCAAACAGGA